CUUGCCAAAUUAUAAGAGGUCCAGCCUGCCCAGUGACUCUGUUCAACGGCCGCGGUAUCCUAACCGUGCGAAGGUAGCGUAAUCACUUGUUCUUUAAAUGAGGACUAGUAUGAAUGGCCCCACGAGGGCUGCACUGUCUCCUUUUUCUAAUCAAUGAAACUAAUCUCCCCGUGAAGAAGCGGGGAUAACCUUAUAAGACGAGAAGACCCUAUGGAGCUUAAAACAACUGAAACAUUUGCUUUUACCUUUACUGCCCCCGAGCUAUUUAUUUUAUUCAAGCAUUUUUAUUUCUAGUUUUAGGUUGGGGUGACCACGGAGCAAAACUAAACCUCCACGAAGAAAUGAAUACUUUUUAAGCCACAAACUACUUUUUUAAGCAUCAACAAAUUGACCUUCAUUGACCCAAUAUAUUGAUCAACGAAC
rnacentral:rRNA from 1 species